rnacentral:rRNA from 1 species
CGAACGGGUGAGUAAUGUAUCGGAACGUACCUUUCAGUGGGGGAUAACGUAGCGAAAGUUACGCUAAUACCGCAUAUUCUGUGAGCAGGAAAGCAGGGGAUCGCAAGACCUUGCGCUGAUUGAGCGGCCGAUAUCAGAUUAGCUAGUUGGUAAGGUAACGGCUUACCAAGGCAACGAUACGUAGCCGACCUGAGAGGGUGAUCGGCCACACUGGAACUGAGACACGGUCCAGACUCCUACGGGAGGCAGCAGUAGGGAAUCUUCCGCAAUGGGCGAAAGCCUGACGGAGCAACGCCGCGUGAGUGAUGAAGGGUUUCGGCUCGUAAAACUCUGUUAUUAGGGAAGAACAAAUGUGUAAGUAACUGUGCACGUCUUGACGGUACGUAAUCAGA